CCUGUCUUUUUUUUUUUUCGCGGGCUUGUCCUUUCCAGUAGCUAGCAAAGCCUCUCUGCCGGGUCAGCGGUGGACGCUUCGGUCACAAACUUUAACUUCGCGUUGGAAGCAGCGUUUUGUUUUGUUUUUUUGUUUUUUGUUUUUUUCCCCCUCCCUGUCACGCUGUCUUCAGGCUGGGGCCUGAAGCGACUUUCCAAAGAGUUCCUCUGGAGGGGACGAGGACCACUGGCUCGCCAAGCAGAUUUUGGGGCUGCAGGAAGGACGAGAGGAGAAUAAAGAUGCGGGAAUGGUCUUCAGAGCAGAAAAAUCCUUUAAGUGUAAUUGAUGGAAAGAUGUGUUCCAUGAAGGAGAUGACGAACACCAUCUGCUGACAGUUCAUCAAUAGGUGUUUGAGCGGUGGAGGCAGGGCAGAAUCAGCAACAUGAAGGGCCGGUAGAUAGAGAGCCAAGGCAUGCUGUCCUCUCAAAACGCUUUUGCUGAUAAUCAGGAUUCAGCCUUCGCUAAUGCAGGAGGUAGAGAGGCUUUUGCUCAGGGGGAAACAAAAUCUGUGUCUGUGCGUGUGCUCGUGCGUGUGUGCAUGUGAGAGAGAGAGAGAGAGAGUGUGUGUGUGCAAGUUACAAGAUAACAAGAAGCCUCUAACCUCUACCGUGAGGUCAGCGGAGACCUCCAGCGGUCAUAUUUGAGGUUAAAUGCUAUGUGAAGGCAAGGUGCUUGGGAAAGGUUAAAGUGACUCACAGUACAUCUGGGUACCACACGAAAGUAACAAAACCAAGAAGGGAAAAAUGUAGUCCGCUAGAUGGAGGGAAAUGUCUGUUUUCUUUAGUGUGAUCCCUGUGGGAGGCGCUGCUGCAUGCUGUCUACUUGGUACAAGAGUUAAUGUAAGGGUGCCGAAAGGAUCAAUUUUUCAGUCAGCCGAGAAUGAAUCAAUGGCAGGUUUAAUAAUCGACUAAUUACCAAUCAUUUGCUGGUUACUGUAAAAAUUCCUUAAUGUGAGAAAGAUUUGCAGCUUUUUUCUGUUUCAUAUCUAGUCAAGUUUUCAUCUAGAACUUACGCAAAUUUUACCCAAAUUUCCAGAAAAUUGGUUCACUGAGGAAAAACAGUUGGUGGUGCUGAUUCUGUAGUCAGGUGCCAUUAAACCACUGCAGAAGUAGAGAGCUCAAGAGAUGACAUACGAAAAGAGCACCAGUCAAACCUCAAAUGACGGAAAACAUAGA